GAUGAACGCUGGCGGCGUGCCUAAUACAUGCAAGUCGAGCGAACGGACGAGAAGCUUGCUUCUCUGAUGUUGGCGGCGGACGGGUGAGUAACACGUGGAUAACCUACCUAUAAGACUGGGAUAACUUCGGGAAACCGGAGCUAAUACCGGAUAAUAUUUUGAACCGCAUGGUUCAAAAGUGAAAGACGGUCUUGCUGUCACUUAUAGAUGGAUCCGCGCUGCAUUAGCUAGUUGGUAAGGUAACGGCUUACCAAGGCAACGAUGCAUAGCCGACCUGAGAGGGUGAUCGGCCACACUGGAACUGAGACGCGGUCCAGACUCCUACGGGAGGCAGCAGUAGGGAAUCUUCCGCAAUGGGCGAAAGCCUGACGGAGCAACGCCGCGUGAGUGAUGAAGGUCUUCGGAUCGUAAAACUCUGUUAUUAGGGAAGAACAUAUGUGUAAGUAACUGUGCACAUCUUGACGGUACCUAAUCAGAAAGCCACGGCUAACUACGUG
rnacentral:rRNA from 1 species